UUGUGUCUUAGAGGUUGCAGUGUAUUAUCAGUACGGUAGGGGAGAGUGAGGACGUCGUAGAUCCUGCCGGAAAGGAAUCAUUGCCGAAGCAUAGAAAUCUGCCUCGAUUUCUAGAGCUGGGACUAUAUUGAACAAAUAUAGGACUGUCACUGGUAGAGACCCAUUUUACCAGUGAGGGGCUAUUUCACAC
rnacentral:ncRNA from 1 species